GACGAACGCUGGCGGCGUGCUUAACACAUGCAAGUCGAACGGAAAGGCCCUGCUUGUGUGGGGUGCUCGAGUGGCGAACGGGUGAGUAACACGUGAGUAACCUGCCCUUGACUUUGGGAUAACUUCAGGAAACUGGGGCUAAUACCGGAUAGGAGCUCCUGCUGCAUGGUGGGGGUUGGAAAGUUUCGGCGGUUGGGGAUGGACUCGCGGCUUAUCAGCUUGUUGGUGGGGUAGUGGCUUACCAAGGCUUUGACGGGUAGCCGGCCUGAGAGGGUGACCGGCCACAUUGGGACUGAGAUACGGCCCAGACUCCUACGGGAGGCAGCAGUGGGGAAUAUUGCACAAUGGGCGGAAGCCUGAUGCAGCAACGCCGCGUGCGGGAUGACGGCCUUCGGGUUGUAAACCGCUUUCGCCUGUGACGAAGCGUGAGUGACGGUAAUGGGUAAAGAAGCACCGGCUAACUACGU
rnacentral:rRNA from 1 species